AUACUUACCUGGCAUUGGAGUGACUUUGAUCAAGAAGGAAGUCCUCCCGGGUGAGGCCUCGGCAUUGUACAUUCGGCUAGGUUGACCCUUGCGAUUCCACUAAUGUUGGACUCGUGUGCGAAAUUUGUGGUAGCGAGGGACUGCGUUCGCGCUGACCCGCA